AGAAGCAAGCACAUCAUUGUCCAGAACACGCAGGUGCCGAGUGGUGGUUUCUUUGAAGUGCAGGGAAUCGAUUCCUCUCAGGUGGAUGUAGAGGUGACUUUUGAAGCGACAGGGCUGGAAAAAGCUGAGGCCUUCGAUCUUUCAUGGACGACUAAUGCCGAAGCACUCUGUGGC